rnacentral:rRNA from 1 species
UACAGAGGUCUCAAGCGUUGUUCGGAUUCAUUGGGCGUAAAGAGCGUGUAGGCGGUCCGGUAAGUCCGUUGUGAAAGUCAAGGGCUCAACCCUUGAAUGCCGGCGGAUACUGUCGGGCUAGAGUCCGGAAGAGGCGAGUGGAAUUCCCGGUGUAGCGGUGAAAUGCGCAGAUAUCGGGAGGAACACCUAUGGCGAAGGCAGCUCGCUGGGACGGCACUGACGCUGAGACGCGAAAGCGUGGGGAGCAAACAGG